rnacentral:rRNA from 1 species
AUUGAACGCUGGCGGCAGGCUUAACACAUGCAAGUCGAGCGGGGUGAUGGUGCUUGCACUAUCACUUAGCGGCGGACGGGUGAGUAAUGCUUAGGAAUCUGCCUAUUAGUGGGGGACAACAUCUCGAAAGGGAUGCUAAUACCGCAUACGUCCUACGGGAGAAAGCAGGGGAUCACUUGUGACCUUGCGCUAAUAGAUGAGCCUAAGUGGGAUUAGCUAGUUGGUGGGGUAAAGGCCUACCAGGCGACGAUCUGUAGCGGGUCUGAGAGGAUGAUCCGCCACACUGGGACUGAGACACGGCCCAGACUCCUACGGGAGGCAGCAGUGGGGAAUAUUGGACAAUGGGGGGAACCCUGAUCCAGCCAUGCCGCGUGUGUGAAGAAGGCCUUAUGGUUGUAAAGCACUUUAAGCGAGGAGGAGGCUCUUUUGGUUAAUACCCAAGAUGAGUGGACGUUACUCGCAGAAUAAGCACCGGCUAACUAUGUGCCAGCCGCCGCGGUAA